AUGAAUGAGGCAUCUUUUUUUUAAUAAUAAAUUUUUUUAAUAAGUAUAAAAUAUUUAAAAAAAUGAUAUGAAAAUAGAUAGCUAUCAAGUACACUAUUUCAAUAAAGAUACAUGAAUCUAAUAAAGAUAGGCAAGAAACCUUUUUAAUUUAAUAUUAUUUUUGAAUGAAAGUAUAGAAAAGUAAUUAUCCUAAAAGAAGGGCCAUGAAACUGAUUAAAUAACUGAGAUAAUGCUUGGCAAUACUGUUUACCAUGUCAAGCAAGAGCCGAAUAGGAAAAGGCCAUCCCAUGGCACUUCAUGGUCAAGGUAAAGAAAAGAAUUUGUCCAUAAAAGAAUCUCUCUAUGAGAGAAAGUAGGGUCAUUAUGGAAAAUUCACUCCAUCUAAUUAAUAAAAGUCCCAUCCCACCAUCUCCCCUUCAAGUGAGUACCCAAGCAGCAGCCGCAACAUCACAGCAC
rnacentral:lncRNA from 1 species